rnacentral:lncRNA from 1 species
CAGUUUUAGCAUGCUUUCUUGAAUUCAAGACUUCCCUCUGUCAAGGUAUCAACAGACCAGACUAUAACUGUAUAGGACAUAGGUGGAGAAGAUUAAUUCUAUCAGUUGGUGGGUUUGAAUGACAUCACGUUUUAAAGUAAUUUAUUCUGAGACCAUUUCUGAGGAAAUUAAGACUCUCCCUUUUUUAAACAGCCCUAGUGAAAAAGACCAGUGUAUAUUUAUGGCAUCUAUUUUUGAGUCUCUCUAUUGCAAAGCACAUCCUGCAUGGGAAACCUCUAGUCAAAUAGGCAAUGAUAAGGACUUAAAUAGAACAUAAGUAUAUAUUUCACUUUGCCUUCACACUUUGGAAGUCCAGCUUCUGUGCAGCCACACAGGAUCCAAUAUCAGUUCCAUUUCCAUUCCUAUAGUCAGGCUGGG